rnacentral:lncRNA from 1 species
AGCAAAUCAUAUUAACAUGCCUAAUAGAUUCAAAUCCGGAGGUGAUCCAAAACAGCCAACGCCUUAAGAGCUUUACAAUCGCCGCAGAUUCUUCAAAAAUAUUGUCUAAAUGGGAAGCUAACUAGGGACCUUUAUCAAGAACGGAAUAGGAACCGCAACUAGCGAUGACGGACGGAACACCUAUCGACCUCGGCUCUCCACUGAUGACUGAAGUUGACAACUGUUGCUGCCGGAAUUUCAACUUCGAACCCAAAAUUGUCACCAAUCAAAGACUGAAUAACGACGAACCAAGCUCUGAAAAAGGCGACGUGAGUUCCUAGUUAAGUUUUCAGCGAUUUGGCGGCCAUUAGUGCUAUUUUUGGUGAGUUCCGGUGGUGGAGGAACAACAGCUGAUCUGCUGUGAAGGUGAAGGAGAAGAAGCGGGGAUGUGCUGGUAUUGGAGAGGGUGGUUAUUUGUCAUAGGAGACGGUGGGGUCUUGGGCGGCUAUGAGGCUUCAGAGUUCUAGGGUAUAGGGUUCAGCUCUCAUUGAAGAAGAAGGCAUGCCCCUCUAACGUUAGGUCUUGUAUUGUCUUGUAAUUUUUUUUUGUGAAAUUAAUAUUGGCCAUAGGAUUAAAUUCAAGUAGAGGGCCGGGAUUAAAAGGUUAUGGGUUGG